rnacentral:sRNA from 4 species
AGUUUGCACUUACCGGGAAGGGUGAGAGCCUUCGAUUAAGGUUCGACUCGAGCGAAAGCGAGAGAACGUUACCGUAGGUAACGGCCCGAAGGGUGAGGAGCGAAGCGACGAAUAAUCCUUCCCCCGCCACCA